rnacentral:rRNA from 1 species
ACUUCAAAACCAGCGGCCACCCCAAAAUACAUAAACACCCACUGGGCUCACUUAUACACUAAGCCACUGGCCCGCGUUUUUCGGUUGGGGCGACCUUGGAGAAAAACAGAUCCUCCAAAAAUUAGACCACCCCUCUAGACUGAGAGCAACCCCUCAACGUGCUAAUAGCAACCAGACCCAAUAUAAUUGAUCUAUGGACCAAGCUACCCCAGGGAUAACAGCGCAAUCUCCCUCGAGAGUCCGUAUCGACGGGGAGGUU